rnacentral:rRNA from 1 species
AUUGCACGCUGGCGGCAGGCCUAACACAUGCAAGUCGAACGAGUGGCGGACGGGUGAGUAAUGUCUGGGAAACUGCCUGAUGGAGGGGGAUAACUACUGGAAACGGUAGCUAAUACAGCAUACCAUCGAAGAUGCCCAGAUGGAAUUAGCUAGUAGGUGGGGUAACGGCUCACAUAGGCGACGAUCCCUACAUGGUCUUAGAGGAUGACCAGCCACACUGGAACUGAGACACGGUCCAGGCUCCUACGGGAGGCAGCAGUGGGGAAUAUUGCACAAUGGGCGCAAGCCUGAUGCAGCCAUGCCGCGUGUAUGAAGAAGGCCUUCGGGUUGUAAAGUACUUUCAGCGGGGAGGCGUUACCCGCAGAAGAAGCACCGGCUAACUCCGUGCCAGCAGCCGCGGUAAUAC